GCGGGAAAAAACGUCCUUGUUACACUUAUUAGCUAACAUUUAUUAUGCGCCAAGUAUGAUCCAUUUUUUAAAUGUGCAGUAAUUGGUAUUACACUAAAGAACUGAACUGGGAAUGCUAUUUAACCUGAUCUUUAUUCACUUAUCCUUAGAAAAUUCUUGUCACGCUCCUCCCUGAAAAGCAGAACUUAAUGGCAAGAUCCUUGUGCAGAUCAACAUAGUUAUUAGGUGUUGAUGGCUUCCUUCCUUCUCCCUUAGCAUUUUUUUAUUUUUAUACGCUAAUUCUUCAAAAUUUCCUUUCCUAUAUUUUCUUAUUUCACUUUCUCUUGGCACAAUUGCAAAGUAGUUAUUUUUCUUUGUGUUUUACUCUCCUCUUUGGGGAUGCACAUGCCGAGUCAUUUCUGAGGGCAGUAUUCCUUCCUCCAGCAAAGCUUCCUGGCCCCAAAUUGGGGUAUUCACAAGUUAUAUGCUGGUUUAUAUUCAGGACAGAAUCUUCCUUGGUGGUUUUCUUCAUACAUGUCAGAGUAAACAUGUGUUAGCAAUAGAGGUAGAAAACCAGACGGAAGACAGGAGGGGCUGCUCCUCGACAUGCUUUUCCUUCAUGGUAGAACUCUGGGCCUUCCGUGUGGGUUUGUCUUCUAGAUGGAAAAAUGACCAUUUGAACCUAUAACCACUGAAUGCAGUAGCUGAACAUGUGGGAGUCUGAAGGCAUUAAGGAGCGCAGAGAUGACUUGCAAUGGGCAGCAGCAACGAAUUCAUCACCUACACUGCAAGCAGGAUUUAUUUUCGCUCUCACUUGUAUAGCAAUCCUGAUUUCCAUUUUAAUAUUUAGAAGCUGUUUUUCUAGAAAGCCACUGUCAGAAAGAGAGACUACACAGGAGCUGCUCUCCCGCAACUAAACAAAAAAGAAAAACCCGAUCCUGUCCUUUGUGAGCUGAGGAUAGUUUUAAUAGUUGUGAAGCUGGCAUCCUGGUGGGAGCCACGUGCCCUACAGCAUGAAGUGGAAAUGGUCCCAUGGCUAUGGGCCAGCUGUCCUCAAAACAGUUGACAGUGUGCUGAAAGCAAAGACUCAGUGCAGACAGGCUGGUGACAUGGGGUUCGAGAAUGGAAGAUGAACUGGACUGCCCAAGACAUGGUGUCUGCUGCAUACUCUGACCCAAAGUCUCUCCUCGCCCAUUAUUAGUGCAUCAGGAAUACUCAGACAAGUAGCUGAAUGUGAAGCCACAGAACCUUUCACAGACAUGUUGAGAACUGCCCUAAUGUCCACUCAAAGGACUGGGCAGAGAAGAAAACAGUCUUAGGGCCAGUAUCCCAGCCAUACCUACUCCCACAGUGACCUUGUCUCCUUGCUGCAUAACCCAGUGUGGUCUUUUUUAUCUUCGUCAACCUAAUAAAGUACUCACCACACAGGGCCUGCAUACUAACACACCUCAUGCAGAGAGGAAACCAGGAUGGAGAUUUUCCUAAAAAGCAUUUGUCUAGGAGCCUUGAUGACUCUGAUUGAGGUGUUUCUGUCCUGUCCCCUCAGCCAAAUACAGAAAUGUGCACAUCCUUUCUCUAGAGGAAAUAACUAAAUGUGAAGGACUUUAAAAUGU